rnacentral:rRNA from 1 species
AAAUUGAAGAGUUUGAUCAUGGCUCAGAUUGAACGCUGGCGGCAGGCCUAACACAUGCAAGUCGAACGGUAGCACAGAGAGCUUGCUCUCGGGUGACGAGUGGCGGACGGGUGAGUAAUGUCUGGGAAACUGCCUGAUGGAGGGGGAUAACUACUGGAAACGGUGGCUAAUACCGCAUAACGUCGCAAGACCAAAGAGGGGGACCUUCGGGCCUCUUGCCAUCAGAUGUGCCCAGAUGGGAUUAGCUUGUUGGUGAGGUAACGGCUCACCAAGGCGACGAUCCCUAGCUGGUCUGAGAGGAUGACCAGCCACACUGGAACUGAGACACGGUCCAGACUCCUACGGGAGGCAGCAGUGGGGAAUAUUGCACAAUGGGCGCAAGCCUGAUGCAGCCAUGCCGCGUGUAUGAAGAAGGCCUUCGGGUUGU